rnacentral:rRNA from 1 species
CCUACGGGAGGCUGCAGUCGAGAAUCAUUCACAAUGGGGGAAACCCUGAUGGUGCGACGCCGCGUGGGGGAAUGAAGGUCUUCGGAUUGUAAACCCCUGUCAUGUGGGAGCAAAUUAAAAAGAUAGUACCACAAGAGGAAGAGACGGCUAACUCUGUGCCAGCAGCCGCGGUAAUACAGAGGUCUCAAGCGUUGUUCGGAAUCACUGGGCGUAAAGCGUGCGGAGGCUGUUUCGUAAGUCGUGUGUGAAAGGCGCGGGCUCAACCCGCGGACGGCACAUGAUACUGCGAGACUAGAGUAAGGGAGGGGGAACCGGAAUUCUCGGUGUAGCAGUGAAAUGCGUAGAUAUCGAGAGGAACACUCGUGGCGAAGGCGGGUUCCUGGACAUUAACUGACGCUGAGGCACGAAGGCCAGGGGAGCGAAAGGGAUUAGAUACCCGGGUAGUC